ensembl:snRNA U6 U6 spliceosomal RNA
AUGCUCGCUUUGGCAGCACAUAUACUAAAACUGGAACGAUACAGAGGUUAGCAUGGCCCCUGACCAAGGAUGACACGCAAAUUCAUGAAGUAGUGUGUAUAUGU